AGUCGAACGAUGAACCCGCUUCGGUGGGGGAUUAGUGGCGAACGGGUGAGUAACACGUGGGCAAUCUGCCCUUCACUCUGGGACAAGCCCUGGAAACGGGGUCUAAUACCGGAUAACACCGGCUUCCGCAUGGGAGCUGGUUGAAAGCUCCGGCGGUGAAGGAUGAGCCCGCGGCCUAUCAGCUUGUUGGUGGGGUGAUGGCCUACCAAGGCGACGACGGGUAGCCGGCCUGAGAGGGCGACCGGCCACACUGGGACUGAGACACGGCCCAGACUCCUACGGGAGGCAGCAGUGGGGAAUAUUGCACAAUGGGCGAAAGCCUGAUGCAGCGACGCCGCGUGAGGGAUGACGGCCUUCGGGUUGUAAACCUCUUUCAGCAGGGAAGAAGCGAAAGUGACGGUACCUGCAGAAGAAGCGCCGGCUAACUACGUGCCAGCAGCCGCGGUAAUACGUAGGGCGCAAGCGUUGUCCGGAAUUAUUGGGCGUAAAGAGCUCGUAGGCGGCUUGUCGCGUCGGAUGUGAAAGCCCGGGGCUUAACCCCGGGUCUGCAUUCGAUACGGGCAGGCUAGAGUGUGGUAGGGGAGAUCGGAAUUCCUGGUGUAGCGGUGAAAUGCGCAGAUAUCAGGAGGAACACCGGUGGCGAAGGCGGAUCUCUGGGCCAUUACUGACGCUGAGGAGCGAAAGCGUGGGGAGCGAACAGGAUUAGAUACCCUGGUAGUCCACGCCGUAAACGUUGGGAAC
rnacentral:rRNA from 1 species